rnacentral:ncRNA from 1 species
GUGAUAACUUUCAAAUUCAGAGAAACCCGGGAAUUAAAAAAUGGGCAAUCCUGAGCCAAAUCCAGUUUUACAAGAACAAACAAAGGUUCAGAAAGCGAAAAAAGGGAUAGGUGCAGAGACUCAAUGGAAGCUGUUCUAACAAAUGGAGUUGACUACCCUUUUUUGGUAAAGAAAGUAAAAUGAAUCCUUCUAUCGAAUAUCGAAACUCCAUAGAAUAUCGAAACUCCAUAAAGGAUAAGUGUAUAUACACCAUGUAUACACAAUGAAAAACUAUCUCAAAAAUAACAACCGAAUCCAUAUUUUUUUUUAUGAAAAAGAAAAGAAUUCUUAUGAAUCGAUUCUACGUUGAAGAAGGAAUCGAAUAUUCAUUGAUCAAAUCAUUCACUCCAUAAUCUGAUCGAUCUUUUCUUUUGACUUUUGAAGAACUGAUUAAUCGGACGAGAAUAAAGAUAGAGUCCCAUUCUACAUGUCAAUAUCAAUACGGGCAACAAUGAAAUUUAUAGUAAGAGGAAAAUCCGUCGACUUUCGAAAUCGUGAGGGUUCAAGUCCCUCCUA